rnacentral:lncRNA from 1 species
GGAAAACAAGAAAACAGACAAGUGUUUUCGGUGGUAGACAAGAACCGCACAAGGAAGAUAUACCCGAGAGAUUCAAGAGAGAGUUUGCAAAGAUUGUUUUGUAAACAUUGAGCUUGUAACCGACUUUUCAAGUAUUAAUACAUUGGUGUUAAUCGUUGAGUCUCGGUCUUGUAUCUCGUGUUCUUGUCGUGUUCGAUCUCGGUUUGCAUCUCCGGUUGGAUUCCGCACAACCGGGUGUGUUUGUAUACAAGGAUUAGGCGACUAGAUCCUCCUAGCCGGACCUACAAGUGGUAUCAGAGCAUUGGCUCUUCUCCUUGUUAAAACCGAGUGUUUUCGGGUGUGUUUUGGGUUUUUGAAGUUUAGUGUUUCUUGAAAAUUUCUGCUUAAAACAUCGAAAAUCUGCCUUUUUUGUUGAAAGUUCUUAUAAAAACCUCUUUAUUUUUCAUUUUCACAUGUUAAAAGUGUUGGUUCACCGGAAAACUCUUUAGUUUACCGGAAAACUCAAAUUUUCUGGGUAGUUCUUUAUAUCUUCAACAAUCUUCAAGUGUUCUUCAUAUAAUUCUACUUUUUGAUCCUUAGAAGUUAUUGGUGGAAGUUGUUAGUGUUUUGGAAUUUGUAAAAGGAUUAUUAUAGUACACACCUUACUGGUUGGUAGGAUUGAGCUUACUUUAAAAUGGAAGUGGGUCCGUUGUGUCAGGCAUAGAAAGUCAAGGUGAUUAGAUAUUUUGAUCUUAGGCAAUACGUAGUGGGGCGCCAGAAGGGGCUAUAGCGCCCGUAUAGCGCCGCGAACACCGCCCCCCCCCCCCCCCCCCGGCGCCAUGUUCGAAUUUUUUUGGCUAGCGCGAAGAUCUUAGCGGCGUUAUGGAAUUUGUUUUGAAUUUUUUUGACCGUUGUAACGGUCAAUUUCAUU